rnacentral:rRNA from 1 species
GGAAUCUUCCACAAUGGACGCAAGUCUGAUGGAGCAACGCCGCGUGAGUGAAGAAGGUCUUCGGAUCGUAAAACUCUGUUGUUAGAGAAGAAUGACAUUGAGAGUAACUGUUCAAUGUGUGACGGUAUCUUACCAGAAAGGAACGGCUAAAUACGUGCCAG